GGGAACGCAAUUCCACUGGGCAAUCACCACCGGAGGUGCAUUUUGGGGGACUUGGGAGCGGGAAACCAGGACCCUAAAAGGACCCUAAAAGGACUGCUAGUGACUAGGGGCGGGGUGACGCUCUGGGAAUGGGGCGUGGGGUGCAGGGCGCGGGCCAACGGCGAGGGCUGCCCCAGUGCCGCCGGAUGGGCGCAUUUGCGGUACCCUAGGUGCCUUUGCCCAGGCGGAGGAGCGACAAGACCUGAGUGCAGAGGGUUUCAGGGCAGGGAGCGGCCCAGAAAGGGGCUGGUGAUCCGCCCUGGGGAAGCUCGGGCGUGGCCUCCCGGGAUCUCUCCGUCUCUACUUGCCUCCCUCCUCUUUACUUGCCUCCUUCCUCUCUCUCUCCUCUCUCCUCCCCUUACGUCCAGGUCUAAAACGGAGGCCGGCGCCUUUAAGAGGGAGCGUUGGUUACCCUGGGGGCGGGAACCCCUCUGCGGCUCGCGAGGCGGCGGCGCUCGGCCGCGAUGCUUCUCACUUUCAGCUCCAGCUCCCGCCACCGCCGCUUCUAUCGCCGCCGCCGCCGCCACCUCCUCAUCGUCGCCCUCCUUCCUCCUCCGCCUGGAAGCGUGGUUCUCUGCAGCGGAGGAGAGAAGUGCUAUGUCCGGAAAGUUCCGGGAGGGACUGCAUGGGGCCAUGCUCCCUGGGCUCUUCCGCGGGCGCCCGCGCGCCGCCCUUCGCGUGAGAGAACUCACCUACUAAGCAGAUCCUGUGGAAAAAGAAAAAUCAUCAGGAGAAGGAAAGCAGAAGGCUGAAGCUCAGAAGAAAGAAGAGAAGAAGGUAGGGCUUUGCUAGACUGGUCUGGAGAAGUUGCUUGUGUUUCACAUUCCCUUGGUUUGGGAUAAGCUUCCUUACUGUGAUGACAGUACUAAUAUCACUUUAUGCUGUCCCCUUUUCUCUGGAUUAUAGCUGAGAAACAGGAUUAUGGUGAAGCCAAUGCUAGGUCAUCAGUAAUUUAAAAGCCAGGACACCAAAGCUCGGUAUGGGCUGAGUUAGGCUUGCCUUAGCCCUAGAAAUGAAUGCCAUGUCCACAUGUCCACAUGUCCACAUGGAAUAAACUGCAUGUAUUGGAAGUAUAUAAUUUCUGA
rnacentral:lncRNA from 13 species